UCAGCUUAGCUGUCCUAGAAGUAGAGAAGAACUUGGAUAAAAAGGCAAGCUUGCACUGCUCCCAAGUCUGUAUGGAACCUCUAGGCAGAUUCUUCUCCCAUUGGUGUGCCUUGUCUCCUAGACUGAAUGGGAAAAGCUAUCUUCAGAGACACCAUUGAUUUUGGUGAGGUCACAAACUCUGUCAAACUGGUCUAGGUGCUCCAAAGGAUCCUCC
rnacentral:lncRNA from 1 species